GAAAAAGAUGAGAAGCCCGAUACCAAGGAGGUGAAACCUGAAGGCAAGAAGGUUGAUGCAGGUGGCAAGGUGGAAAAGGGUAACCUGACUCAAGGCUGAAAAAAACCAACAAGGGGAAGCCCCACUGCAGACAAAAUCCUGUCCUCUUCAGAGGAAUUGGCAGGUAUUCCCAAUCUGCUGUGCAUUCCAGAAAGACCAUGUACAAGAGGAAGUACUCAACUGCUCAAUCCAGGGUUGAAAAGCAAGAGGACUGUUCUUGUCACUGUUAAUAAACCAGUUGCUGGUGACAAGCAUGAUGGUACCUGCGUGGUUAAAAUUUGCAAAUUGCCUAGGUACUGUCCUCUUGAUGAUAAGCCUGGGGAGCUGUUGAACCAGGGCAGAAGCCCUACCAGCCAGCACGUGAGAAAACGGGGCCAGCCUCUCUCCCAGGACCACUCUGCUCAUCCUCACUGGGCACUGCAGAGGCAAGACAGUGGUUUUCCCGAAGCGACUGGGCACUGGCUUGUUACUUUUUACUGAACCUCUGAUUCUCAAUUGAGUUCCUCUGGGAAGAGCACACCAGAAAUUUGUUGUUUCCACCUCCUCAAAAAUUGAUAUCAGCAAUGUGAAAAUCCCAAAAUAGCUCACUGAUGCUUACUUCAAGAAGAGGCAGCUGUGGAAGCCCAGACACCAGGAAGGUGCGAUCUUCAACACAGAAAAAGAGAAAUGUGAGAUUACAGAGCAGAGCAAGCCAGAAGGAAACUCUGUCUCAAAAAAAAAAAAAAAAAAAAAAAGCUAUUCUUCAGCUCCAGGGCUACCUGUGAUCCAAGUUUGUCCUGGAGAAUGGAGUUUAUCUUUUAAAAUUGGUGUUUCAAGUUUCUUACAACUAG
rnacentral:lncRNA from 1 species